rnacentral:tRNA from 1 species
GCUGUGGUGGCAUAGCAGUUAAAGCACUUGGCUGCUAACCAAGAGGUCGGUGGUUUGAGCCUACCAGUCGCU